CGGUGUAUGUCGUCUCGUGUUUCGUUGAUCGUUUUGUUUUUGUGUUCGAUCGGCAUCAUCAUUCUCGUUCAUCGGUCCUCGGGUUCGUUCGUUCGUCGGUACAGGUAGCAGUUCGCACGAAACCCGAAGCCGCCACCGAUGCCGGUCUCGUUCGGGCACUAUUCGAUGGUGUGGGUCUUGAGGCUGAGGCACUGGUGGCAGUACUGCCUCUAGUCGGUGUACUCGGAGUUGCUCUUCGUCCGCCCCAUGUUGCCGCGGCACGUCUUCUGCCGGAGGGAGUGCCUCGACACGAGACUCCUACGGCUCCACGUCUUCGUGCCGAUGCCCGUCGUCCGCAUGCCCCCGCUGCAGCCUCCCAAGCUGCGAGAGAAGGCGCUGUUGCGGCGCGUCUUCGUGCCGCUCGUCUUCCGCAGCAGCAUGGUCGUACUCUCGCCGCGGCCUCCCAUGUCGCGAGUGGUGGUGCUUUCGAGGCACGUCUUCGUGCUGCGGAUACCGCCCGUCUUUCGCAGCAGCAUGGUCGUACCUCCGAUGCUACGACAGUCGGUGCUGUCGUGGCCGCGGUGCGUCUUCGUACCGAUGCCACUCGUCUUUCGAAUACCUCGACUUCGGGUGGCGCUGUCGAGCCGCGUCUUCGUGCCGAUGCCGCUCGUCUUCCGCAUGCCACCAGUGGUGGUCCUGCCGUUCCAGGUCUUCUCGCCGAUACCGCCGCUCGUAUGCCGCAUGGUGGUCCUGUCGUUCCAGGUCUUCGUACCGAUGCCGCUCUUCCGCGUGCCGAUGCCGCUCGUCUUCCGAAUGCUGUCGUUCCAGGUCUUCGUGCCGAUGCCGCUCGUCUGCCGCAUGCUGUCGUUCCAGGUCUUCGUGCCGAUGCCGCUCGUCUGCCGCAUGCUGUCGUUCCAGGUCUUCGUGCCGAUGCCGCUCGUGUUCCGCAUGCUGUCGCGCCAGGUCUUGGUCUUCGUGCCGAUGCCGCUCGUACCCUCGCGGUGGCGGCGGGAGGUCGUGCUGUCGAUGCCGCCGCGCUUCUUCGUGCCGAUGCCGCCGCUCGUCUUCCGCAUGUUCGUGCCGCGACGUCGCCCUCCCAUGCUGCGGCAGGUGGUGUUGUCGAGUCACGUCUUGAUGCCGAUGCCGCUCGUCUUCCGCAGCAUGGUCGUGCCCUCGCUGCGGCCUCCCAUGCCGCCACAGGUGGUGCCGAUGCCACCACCCGUCUUCCGAAUGCCCGUGCCGCGACUACGGCCUCCCAUGCUGCGACGAAAGGUCAUGCCGCCGGGCUUCGUCUGCUUCGUGCCGAUGCCGCCGCCCGUCUACCGGCCUCCCAUGCUGAGACGAAAGGUCGUGCCGCCGAUACCGCCCGUCUUCCGCAGCAUGGUCGUUCCCACGCUGCCGCCGUAGCGGCCCAUGCUGCGCGAGCAGGUCUUCUUCGUCCCCUCGAUGCAGCCGCCCGUGUUACGCAUGGGCGUCGUUCCCACGCGGCCGCCGCUGCAGCGUCCCAUACUACGAGAACAGGCUGAGGCCGUCUACGUCUUCGUCGUCGUCAUGUUGGUCCGGCCUACGCUCUCGCUGCUUCUCUCGCUCCUCCUAUCGCUGACGCUUCUCCUCCACGACCCGCCGCCUAUGCCGUACGUAUUUAUGCGGCGGCCGUCGUGGUACGGGCCGCCGUGCGUCAUGAUGAGGCGCAUGCUCGCGGCGGUCGUCGAGCCGCCGCCCUCGGUCAUGCUCCGCAUGCUCUCGAGGUGGUGGGUCCCCAUGAGGCCGCCGCCGAUGCCGCCGCCCACCCGCGUCGGGUUCUUCGUGUCGAUGAUGACUCGAGGACGCAGGACGGGUGGCCGCUGCUGAUGGACGCACUAUGUUAGGAUGGAUGUCACUAUGAAUAGACGAGUACGAGGACGUACACAUACGGUCAUAAACCACCUGGAAACGUAACGUUUUCACAGAUUUAUUCUACAUGAAGAUUGACUAUAAGACGUAGGUGGUAUUCACCGUAGCCAUGUUAUUAAAUGAUCAUGUGUUCAGACUAAUAAUCGUACGCAGAGAGAGACGUUGUACGAGAACUACCAGCAGCACCAUUCACCCAUUGGGUACAUGUCUAGACCGGGGCCUCGAAGUCGAUAUGAUCAUCCGUCGACGAUAAAAGUACUUGCUAUGACUCGUGCAUUCCCGGUCCAAAGGACUUGUCUUUGGAUUAUACCAAGGACACGUGGCACACUAAAGCAGAUCUGACUUCAGCUUAAACCACCGCACUAGGGAACUAGGUUCAUUAUGAAGAAGAGCCGUAGCCGGUCGGAACGGACCUUAUAGGGGGUGAGAAAAGAUGUGGCAGGAGAAUGG
rnacentral:rRNA from 1 species